rnacentral:tmRNA from 1 species
AUUGAAAAUUUGAUCUUUGUUUGAAUUUCACCUGCUGGUUGGCUAAAGAUUCAAGCGAGAUAUCAAAAAUCAGCUAAACUUGUAGAUGUUUUUAAAUUGUUUUCUUGGACCCGGGCUCAACACCCGGCAUCUCCACUU